UUUGUCUCAAAAAAAUACCAAAAACCAAAAACAACAAAAACAAAAAACAUCAAAAGACUAUGAGAAACAGUGAUUGGAUGUUUGGGGUGUGGAUAUCGGAAUCUGGAGCUGGGGACAGGUGUGUCAUUUGAUAGUCCCUUUUGAGAACCACUGUUGAUCUAAAGCUAUUCCAGUUCCCUAGGGGAUUGCUAAUAACCGGUGCAGCUGCUGAGACAGGGAAAGGGGCCUAAUUCCUUUUGCAAAACAAGGAGCAAUAUUUAUAUGAGAACUCAGUACAUUUCAUCACAUAAAAAUUGCAAAACGCCAGGCUCUGUCAUUUUUAAACUAAUAUUUUUGGGAGUCCACCAAACAGUCUCUAAGAUGGAACUGAUUGUGAAUAUGCUGGUGCCAGGUGCAAUGGCUCACACCUGUAAUCCCAGCUACUUGGGAGGCUGAGGUGGGAGGAUCACCUGAAGCCAGGAGUUCGAGGCCAGCCUGGGCCUCUCUAAAAAAAAAAAAGCUGUAAGUCAAAUGAUAUAGCCUCUAGAAGCCACAGUUUGCUCAUUUACAAACUGGAGGAGAAUAAGAUGAGAAUUGUCUGAUAUUGAGGAUCAGAAAGUGCUUCAUGAUGCAUAAAGCAGGUAAUGGAUUAUCAAUGCUUUGCUGCUCAGACACACAGCAAUGGGUUCAUACCAUUCUGAGAGUCUAAAUUUAGGACGUGGUGUGACCAAAAUUACCAGUAAUUAAGUUUCUUAUGUUUCUGAGGCUCUGCUUCCUCAUCUGUACACUGUGGCAAGACCUUGUUCUGACUAUGCACUGAGGAUAAAAUAAGGCCUUUUGAAAAAGAUGAUGACACUGACCACUAAUUAAUGAUUUCAAUGUUCCCGUCCAAGGUCAGGCAAAAGCAAUGCAGAGCCAUAGAGAAUGUUGGUGCAACACUGCCCUCUGCUGGUCAGUAGCAGCACCACCAUGGUUACAGAGAGGAAAAGGUCUUUACAAAGGGAUUCCUGGGAAACUGAGGCAGAGAGUGGAAGGGAUUUGCUCAAGGGCACAGAGUUAGCUUUGGACAAAGUGAUGGCUCGAAUCUGAGAUUCCUAAUUCCUAGUUCUUUCUAGAGGGAGAAAAAUAAGGGCUGGAAACUAGUGGAUUGUCGUUUCACUCUCACUAGGCUCUGCACGGCAUUUUAAAUAGGCUGAUUGGAAUUUCUCUCUCCUGUUCUUCCCUUGCCACCCAAACUGCUCGGGUUUCUUGUCCUUUUCUUCAUACCAGGAUAACCAUCUGUGUGGCCCCAUAAGGCCCAAAGUCCUCUUGGGUGCUGCCGGAGGUCCAACAACCAGUAAAGCACGGAAGCUGGGAUCUGAACACUCACUUGAGACCCCAAGGCCCACAAUCUAUUUGCCACCAAAAAACAAGACAAAGCAAAACACCAUGACAGGAAAACCGAGUUGCAGACAAAUGAAAGUGACUUACCUCAGGGCCUUUGCAUGUGACAUCCUCUCUGCCUGGAAUGCUCUUCUCAGAUAUCACCUUGGCAUCCCCCAUCACCUUCUUAAGGUCUUCACUUAAAAGUCAUCAUCUGGCCGGGCGCGGUGGCUCACCCUGUAAUCUCAGCACUUUGGGUAGGCCAAGGACUGGAUCCUGGACCUGCCCCUGGGACUUGCGGAAGGGGACAGCUCAAUCUGAGCCAUAUCAACUGAGAACACAGGAAGCAUGGUCCUACCAAGAGAUGUCUAUUCCAGGUAUGGUGGAGCCUCAGAGGACAGCAUGACUCUCGUUCAGCUGGUGGAUCAGGGAAUGGUCCAAUAAGCCACAGCUGUGGAUAUGAAGAUCUUGUGAAAUCAGUGACCUCUGGGUCAUGUAGAAACCCAGCACAUUCCCACAGGACACAGCCUAGCAGUUGAUCAGAGCAGUAGUUCAUACCUGAGACCCUGGAUUUUCAGACCCUCCCCCAGGCCCCACCAGCCUCUGUCAGUGCCAAGCUGGACGGAACAAACCACAUGAGGUUGGUCAGGCCUCUACCCCAUGGAAAAACACAGAAUGGUGAUUUUUUGCCUGUACAUUCCUGGACAAAUAAAUUCUCUUUUGGGAGCUUUUUCCUGGCUGGGCUAUGUUAUAUGCCUCAGAGCUGCCCAGAUCCCCUGGAAACCCAAAGAUUUCCUUCCAUGUGUAGGACUCAUUCAGCCCCAGCUCAGAGGACUGUUUCAUGGGUACUGGUGGCAGGAAUUCUUGGUUGUCUUCAAUGUCUGGCUCCCUGAUUUUCGGUAGGGAACAUGGUCAGCAGAAUGAGGAUGGCAUUUCCUACCUUCUACUGCAGGUGGGCAGAACCAAGGUGCCCUCCCUACACCUUCCUGGGGCCUCCAGCGAUCCUGAGCUCAGCCUCCUGACCUGCAGACCCCUCAGCUCUGGCCCUCACGUCCUGCUUGCUGUACCUGCUUUAUCCCAUAUCACCAUCUCCAUUCCUCAGCAUAGUGACAAUCCCAGUUCCUACCCAUUCCACUGGCUUCUCCAUUUGGCUUGGAGCUCUUUAGCUGGAUUGAGACGACUACUCUGAUGAGUGCCAUGUCACUGGCUCAACAAAAUGGGCCCAAGUGAGUCAAUGUCAUUGACAUGAAGGUGCUGUCAGUUUGGUGGGAACCAAGGGAAUGAGACUGUGUUUUAGCUGCGUUCGUUUGAACAGUUACACACUUAGGGCUUCUUAUGCGGAUGCUCAGAGAGAAAUAUGGAAGACGAGAUCUCGUAGAAAACAAGAAGACAUGUUGUAAAUGAGUCAGGCCUCCUGGAGUCCAGGACUAGGGAGGAACUCUUUAUUGAGGAUCACUCGAGGGAGUCUUGGGGCUGGUGGUCUUCACGCCACAGCCCCAUAACUCAGCUCCUCUCUUCCUUCUCUCAGUCUCUCUGCUUCUGUUUUUUGUCUCAUGUCCUAAAUGUCCAACUAUUCAGCAUAACUUUAUUCUGCUUCCCCUCUCUAUCCUCUGUAGCAAAAUGCACUGUUGGAAUUACAUUUUUAUUUUUAUUUUUAUUUU
rnacentral:lncRNA from 1 species